UGUGCUUUGUAAUGGUGGAGUUGCAUGUGGAGCUCUGGAAUAUUACUUAGGGGAGAUGUGGAAAUGAGAACACAUUUUGGACCAAUGCUUUCUUAUCUUGUUUGCUCUCUCCCAGUCCCUUUUCUGUAAAAGGAGCCUGUAGCUUUAAGCAACAAAACCAGCAAAAAAAGAAAGAGGAGGAGAAAGUUGUGGGGGCAAGGAUGACAGAGAGGAAUGGACUGGGUUCUACUGUCUCCAGGUUGGCUUCCUGGCAGGCAUUUGUGUAAAGGCUAUAAAAGUUCGAACGUGGUUCUCCUCGGUGACACUGGGGAAAUAGAGAAAUUCUGCCUCUUACACAAACUCUCCCCCUGAAGCUAAAUUCAUGCAGAAAAAAAUGAUGCAUCAGGGGUUUGGGGACAACUGGAAUGUACCACAAAGGAUUCUGGGAAGUUCUUAUAGUCCCUAAGCAUUUGGUAGAUCGUGUAAAUAGAGGCAGUUUGAGCAUUUCUACUUCAUUCAAAGCUUUCCCCACCCCAGGUCCUCAAGAAAAAAGAAAAGAAAAAAUGGAAUGAAGUUUCUUGUUGGGCAGGAUAACUCUUUUGAUUGAUUUAGUACUUCUUCUCCAAAACUCUUAUACUACCCUUAAUUCUUUAUCCGCUUCUUGCAGCUAGCUCCCUGGUGCACAGAAGUGGAGAUGGGGGUGGGUGGGAAGAGUGCUGAUUGUUCCUGUUUAACCAGUGUUCUGUGUAGGGGAAAACAGGAGAAGGAAGGAGUUCUAUAUUCUGGUCUUUCCUCUGCUCCCCAUUACCCUAUGUUUCUGCCCAAGACAUAAACGUCUUUGAGCCUCCGUUAUCCCUUCUGUAAAACACUUUGGGAAUCCGAAGCCCAUGGAAGCUAAUAAUAAUGACAGCAACCAUCGGUAUAGCUGCCAGGCAUCUUGCCAAGGAUUUGAAGCACAUCGUUUUAUUUACUCCGUAUUGCAGCCCAACAAUCCAUUUUACAAAGGAGAAAACUGGAGCACAGAGAAGAUAAGUGACUGCCGACAGUCAUAUAACUAAUACUAAUACAGCUGAAGGGAGAACAGAAGGUAACUGACUGCAAUACAUGAGGACUGGCCGAAUGAGAAAGAAAUUAAUCACCUUAGUUUGUAGACAUCAGAGAAGAUUUGAUCCAAAGAAGCCAAAUUUAAACCAGACUGUCCUCCUCGUCCUCUAAACUCCAAACCACUUGGCUUUUCCCCAUCACGCUAUUGUUUGUGACCCUAGGAUAUCCUUUUCUACUUGUAGCAGUGGGUUUAUCAUUAAGUAAUGUAACAGCCCGGAUGUGGUUCAGUUAUUCAACCGUCUGUGCUGUGUUUUCACUAAACCAUGGCCUAGUAAAUUUGCAAUUACAAUAUCUCUGGGUUGUUGUUUUUUAAUAAAUUCCUUUUAAUUGCA